rnacentral:rRNA from 1 species
UACAGAGGUCUCAAGCGUUGUUCGGAUUCAUUGGGCGUAAAGGGUGCGUAGGUGGCAGGGUAAGUCGGAUGUGAAAUCCCGGGGCUCAACCUCGGAACUGCAUUCGAUACUGCUUUGCUUGAGUACUGGAGAGGAGAUUGGAAUUUACGGUGUAGCAGUGAAAUGCGUAGAUAUCGUAAGGAAGACCAGUGGCGAAGGCGGAUCUCUGGACAUUUCCUGACGCUGAGGCACGAAAGCCAGGGGAGCAAACGGG